rnacentral:rRNA from 1 species
UACGGAGGGGGCUAGCGUUGUCCGGAAUUAUUGGGCGUAAAGAGCUCGUAGGCGGUUUGUCGCGUCGGCUGUGAAAACCUGGGGCUCAACCCCGGGCCUGCAGCCGAUACGGGCAAACUAGAAUUCGGUAGGGGAGACUGGAAUUCCUGGUGUAGCGGUGAAAUGCGCAGAUAUCAGGAGGAACACCGGUGGCGAAGGCGGGUCUCUGGGCCGAUAUUGACGCUGAGGAGCGAAAGCGUGGGGAGCGAACAGG